rnacentral:rRNA from 1 species
GACGAACGCUGGCGGCGUGCUUAACACAUGCAAGUCGAACGGAAAGGCCCUGCUGUUGUGGGGUGCUCGAGUGGCGAACGGGUGAGUAACACGUGAGUAACCUGCCCUUGACUUUGGGAUAACUUCAGGAAACUGGGGCUAAUACCGGAUAGGAGCUCCUGCUGCAUGGUGGGGGUUGGAAAGUUUCGGCGGUUGGGGAUGGACUCGCGGCUUAUCAGCUUGUUGGUGGGGUAGUGGCUUACCAAGGCUUUGACGGGUAGCCGGCCUGAGAGGGUGACCGGCCACAUUGGGACUGAGAUACGGCCCAGACUCCUACGGGAGGCAGCAGUGGGGAAUAUUGCACAAUGGGCGGGAGCCUGAUGCAGCAACGCCGCGUGCGGGAUGACGGCCUUCGGGUUGUAAACCGCUUUCGCCUGUGACGAAGCGUGAGUGACGGUAAUGGGUAAAGAAGCACCGGCUAACUACGUG